rnacentral:rRNA from 1 species
UACGGAGGGGGCUAGCGUUGUUCGGAAUUACUGGGCGUAAAGCGCACGUAGGCGGCUUUGUAAGUUAGAGGUGAAAACCUGGAGCUCAACUCCAGAAUUGCCUUUAAGACUGCCUCGCUUGAAUCCAGGAGAGGUGAGUGGAAUUCCGAGUGUAGAGGUGAAAUUCGUAGAUAUUCGGAAGAACACCAGUGGCGAAGGCGGGUCACUGGGCUGGUAUUGACGCUGAGGUGCGAAAGCGUGGGGAGCAAACAGG